CAAAAAUGCACAUAUUGUGAGCUCGAUGAGUAGGGCGGGACACGUGGUAUCCUGUCUGAAUAUGGGGGGACCAUCCUCCAAGGCUAAAUACUCCUGACUGACCGAUAGUGAACCAGUACCGUGAGGGAAAGGCGAAAAGAACCCCGGCGAGGGGAGUGAAAAAGAACCUGAAACCGUGUACGUACAAGCAGUGGGAGCCUCUUAAUGGGGUGACUGCGUACCUUUUGUAUAAUGGGUCAGCGACUUAUAUUCUGUAGCAAGGUUAACCGAAUAGGGGAGCCGAAGGGAAACCGAGUCUUAACUGGGCGUUAAGUUGCAGGGUAUAGACCCGAAACCCGGUGAUCUAGCCAUGGGCAGGUUGAAGGUUGGGUAACACUAACUGGAGGACCGAACCGACUAAUGUUGAAAAAUUAGCGGAUGACUUGUGGCUGGGGGUGAAAGGCCAAUCAAACCGGGAGAUAGCUGGUUCUCCCCGAAAGCUAUUUAGGUAGCGCCUCGUGAAUUCAUCUCCGGGGGUAGAGCACUGUUUCGGCAAGGGGGUCAUCCCGACUUACCAACCCGAUGCAAACUGCGAAUACCGGAGAAUGUUAUCACGGGAGACACACGGCGGGUGCUAACGUCCGUCGUGAAGAGGGAAACAACCCAGACCGCCAGCUAAGGUCCCAAAGUCAUGGUUAAGUGGGAAACGAUGUGGGAAGGCCCAGACAGCCAGGAUGUUGGCUUAGAAGCAGCCAUCAUUUAAAGAAAGCGUAAUAGCUCACUGGUCGAGUCGGCCUGCGCGGAAGAUGUAACGGGGCUAAACCAUGCACCGAAGCUGCGGCAGCGACACUAUGUGUUGUUGGGUAGGGGAGCG
rnacentral:rRNA from 1 species